rnacentral:rRNA from 1 species
AGUAACGGCGAGUGAAGCGGCAACAGCUCAAAUUUGAAAUCUGGCCCCCCGCGGGCCCGAGUUGUACUUUGGAGAGGACGCUUCUGGCGCGGCGCCGUCCGAGUUCCCUGGAACGGGACGCCGGAGAGGGUGAGAGCCCCGUACGGGCGGCCGCCUAGCCUCUGCGAAGCUCCUUCGACGAGUCGAGUAGUUUGGGAAUGCUGCUCAAAAUGGGAGGUAAAUUUCUUCUAAAGCUAAAUACCGGCCAGAGACCGAUAGCGCACAAGUAGAGUGAUCGAAAGAUGAAAAGCACUUUGAAAAGAGGGUCAAACAGUACGUGAAAUUGUUGAAAGGGAAGCGCCUGUGGCCAGACUUGCGCCCCGCGGACCACCCGGCGCCUCGCGCGCCGGGGCACGCCAGCGGGGCGCAGGCCAGCAUCGGCUCUCUCGGGGGGACAAAGGCCGCGGGAACGUAGCGCCCUCGCGGCGUAUUAUAGCCCGCGGCGCCAUGCCCCCGGGGGGGCCGAGGACCGCGCUCCGGCAAGGAUGCUGGCGUAAUGGCCACCGGCGACCCGUCUUGAAACACGGACCAAGGAGUCAAGCAUUGGGGCGAGUGUCUGGGUGGCAAGCCCGCACGCGGAAUGAAAGUGAACGCAGGUGGGAGCUUCGGCGCACCACCGACCGAUCCUGAUGUCCUCGGAUGGAUUUGAGUAGGAGCCCCGCCGCUUGGACCCGAAAGAUGGUGAACUAUGCCUGUAUAGGGUGAAGCCAGAGGAAACUCUGGUGGAGGCCCGCAGCGGUUCUGACGUGCAAAUCG